rnacentral:misc_RNA from 1 species
UUUCCGUAGGUGAACCUGCGGAAGGAUCAUUAAAGAGAUCAUGCCCUCACGGGUAGACCUCCCACCCUUUGUUUACAAUACCUUUGUUGCUUUGGCGGGCCCGUUUGGCCCCGCGCUGAACAACCGGCCCCGGCUGGUCAGUGCCCGCCAGAGAACCGAAAACUCUGAAUUAAAUGUCGUCUGAGUACUAUGUAAUAGUUAAAACUCUCAACAACGGAUCUCUUGGUUCUG